CUCACGCUCAUUCCAAAUUAUCCCCAUCUGACCCCGGACUGUUUUAUCCAAACCUAUACUGAUGUAUAUUGUAUGCGGCAUGUUAUUUUUUCAUAACCACAAGCAUUU
ensembl:snoRNA T25C12.11 ncRNA